rnacentral:rRNA from 1 species
UACGUAGGGGCCUAGCGUUGUCCGGAUUUACUGGGCGUAAAGAGCUCGUAGGUGGUUUGUCGCGUUGUUCGUGAAAUCUCACGGCUUAACUGUGAGCGUGCGAGCGAUACGGGCAGACUGGAGUACUGCAGGGGAGACUGGAAUUCCUGGUGUAGCGGUGGAAUGCGCAGAUAUCAGGAGGAACACCGGUGGCGAAGGCGGGUCUCUGGGCAGUAACUGACGCUGAGGAGCGAAAGCGUGGGGAGCGAACAGG